rnacentral:rRNA from 1 species
CGCGCAGGCGGUUUCUUAAGUCUGAUGUGAAAGCCCACGGCUCAACCGUGGAGGGUCAUUGGAAACUGGGAGACUUGAGUGCAGAAGAGGAUAGUGGAAUUCCAAGUGUAGCGGUGAAAUGCGUAGAGAUUUGGAGGAACACCAGUGGCGAAGGCGACUGUCUGGUCUGUAACUGACACUGAGGCGCGAAAGCGUGGGGAGCAAACA